AUUGAACGCUGGCGGCAGGCCUAACACAUGCAAGUCUAGCGGAUGAAGGGAGCUUGCUCCUGGAUUCAGCGGCGGACGGGUGAGUAAUGCCUAGGAAUCUGCCUGGUAGUGGGGGAUAACGUCCGGAAACGGGCGCUAAUACCGCAUACGUCCUGAGGGAGAAAGUGGGGGAUCUUCGGACCUCACGCUAUCAGAUGAGCCUAGGUCGGAUUAGCUAGUUGGUGGGGUAAAGGCCUACCAAGGCGACGAUCCGUAACUGGUCUGAGAGGAUGAUCAGUCACACUGGAACUGAGACACGGUCCAGACUCCUACGGGAGGCAGCAGUGGGGAAUAUUGGACAAAGGGCGCAAGCCUGAUCCAGCCAUGCCGCGUGUGUGAAGAAGUGCUUCGGAUUGUAAAGCACUUUAAGUUGGGAGGAAGGGCAGUAAGUUAAUACCUUGCUGUUUUGACGUUACCAACAGAAUAAGCACCGGCUAACUUCGUG
rnacentral:rRNA from 1 species